rnacentral:rRNA from 1 species
UUCUGGCUCAGGACGAACGGCUGGCGGCGUGCCUAAUACAUGCAAGUCGAACGGUCUUUCUAUGGAAGCUUGCUUCCACUGAGAAGAUAGUGGCGAACGGGUGAGUAACACGUGGGUAACCUGCCCAUAAGAGGGGGGAUAACAUCCGGAAACGGGCGCUAAUACCGCAUAGUUUUCUUGAUCGCAUGAUCGGGAAAGGAAAGACGGCCUUUGUGCUGUCGCUUAUGGAUGGACCCGCGGCGUAUUAGUUAGUUGGUGAGGUAACGGCUCACCAAGACGAUGAUACGUAGCCGACCUGAGAGGGUGAUCGGCCACAUUGGGACUGAGACACGGCCCAAACUCCUACGGGAGGCAGCAGUAGGGAAUCUUCCGCAAUGGACGAAAGUCUGACGGAGCAACGCCGCGUGAGUGAAAGAAGGUUUUCGGAUCGUAAAACUCUGUUGUCAGAGAAGAACAAGUUGGAGAGUAACUGCUCCAGCCUUGACGGUAUCUGACCAGAAAGCCACGGCUAACUACGUGCCAGCCGCGGC